rnacentral:rRNA from 1 species
AUUGAACGCUGGCGGCAGGCCUAACACAUGCAAGUCGAACGAGUGGCGGAGGGGGAGUUAAGUUUGGGAAAACGCCCGAAGGAGGGGGGUAACUAAUGGAAACGGUUGGCAAUACCGCUAAGCAUCGGGUGUGCCCCGAGGGGGUUAGCGAGGGGGUGGGGUAACGGCUCACCUAGGGCACGAUCCCUAGCUGGUCUGAGAGGAUGACCAGCCACACUGGAACUGAGACACGGUCCAGACUCCUACGUGAGGCAGCAGUGGGGAAUAUUGCACAAUGGGCGCAAGCCUGAUGCAGCCAUGCCGCGUGUAUGAAGAAGGCCUUCGGGUUGUAAAGUACUUUCAGCGGGGAGGCGUUACCCGCAGAAGAAGCACCGGCUAACUCCGUGCCAGCAGCCGCGGUAAUUC